AUUGAACGCUGGCGGCAUGCUUUACACAUGCAAGUCGAACGAGUGGCGCACGGGUGAGUAAUACAUAGGAACGUGUCCUAUAGUGGGGGAUAACUGAGCGAAAGAUCAGAUAAUACCGCAUAAGAUUGGAGCGGCCGAUGCACGAUUAGCUAGUUGGGGAGGUAAAGGCGCACCAAGGCGACGAUCGGUAGCUGGGCUGAGAGGACGACCAGCCCCACUUGGACUGAGACCCGGCCCAGACUCCUACGGGAGGCAGCAGUGGGGAAUUUUGUACAAUGGGGGCAACCCUGAUCCAGCCAUGCCGCGUGCAGGAUGAAGUUCUUCGGAUUGUAAACUGCUUUUGUCAGGGAAGCGGUACCUGAAGAAUAAGCACCGGCUAACUACGUGCCAGCAGCCGCGGUAAUAC
rnacentral:rRNA from 1 species